rnacentral:tRNA from 1 species
GAGGGUAUAGCUCAAGUGGUAGAGCACAUGCUUGGCAUGCAGGAGGUCCUGGGUUCAAUCCCCAGCACCUCCU